rnacentral:rRNA from 1 species
GACGAACGCUGGCGGCGUGCUUAACACAUGCAAGUCGAACGGAAAGGCCUGCUUUCCCUUGUGGAUUGCGGGUGCUCGAGUGGCGAACGGGUGAGUAACACGUGAGUGAUCUGCCCCCAACUUGGGUAUAAGCCUGGGAAACUGGGUCUAAUUCCCGAUAGGACUGCAGGGUGGUGCCUGUGGUGGAAAACGAUUUUCUAGUGGUUGGGGAUGAGCUCGCGGCCUAUCAGCUUGUUGGUGGGGUAAUGGCCUACCAAGGCGGCGACGGGUAGCCGGCCUGAGAGGGUGGACGGCCACAUUGGGACUGAGAUACGGCCCUGACUCCUACGGGAGGCAGCAGUGGGGAAUAUUGCACAAUGGGCGGAAGCCUGAUGCAGCGACGCCGCGUGGGGGAUGACGGCCUUCGGGUUGUAAACUCCUUUCGACCGCGAGGAAGCCACCUGGUUGGAAGGGUGGUGACGGUAGUGGUAGAAGAAGCACCGGCUAACUACGUG